UUAGGCUAAGUAUCAGCAGACAAGAGUAGUACCACAGGGCAUCAAAACUUUCUCACUGAAGCAAAGGAAAGAGAAGUUAAGCACUCAGUCAGCUUACCUACAACGACACGAUUACUCUGCAAUUCAAACGUAAGUGUUUGGCAGAGGUUUCAUACUAACAUUUUCAGACUAUUUCUCCGCUGUUGCUCCUCGAAUAGUAAGUGAGAAACAUGAAAAACAAAAUCAUUCCAUGCGAGUACGGAUUUCUCUUAUGAUGGUCUUUUCUCUCUCUGUAGUGGGAUUCAAAACAUUAUUUAGAAAGUUGGUGAUUGAAAUUUCCUUGGAGACAAUCACACAGUAAUUUGUACAAUCGUUCAUCUAAAUAUAACUUCAAAUAAAAAAUAAGGGCCCGUGAUCUCUAAUGAACAGCUAUAAAUCAGCAUAUUGUAGAGAGUGAAAGUAGACUGAGAGGUCAGAUCAUAUUUCUCAUUUCACAGAAACAUGUUUAAUGUCAACUUUCUUGAAAAUGAGCAUUUCAAAUCUGCCUUUCAUUUUCUCACCUACUAGAUUGGGGAGCGUAGAUAUAGAGGACUUCUUCAUAUAAUGCCUUUCUAUUUGAUUUUCUAUUACAAUCACGUUCAUUUCUAAUUUCCUUCGAUGUCUAGUGACGAAAGUUCAAUCAAUGAGUUCAUAAAACUGACUGAUACUUGCAUAUGUGUUUAUUAAAUCAUAACACUAAUUGAGCGAUUAAUUUAAAUUCUUUUUAAAAAUCAUAUUACUUAUCUAAAGUAUCAUAUGACUACAUUUCAUCCGAUAUGCUGUUUUUUUACUGUGCACCCAGGGAAAGGGAGUAAAACCUGGACGCUAUCACAUCUGACUUCGUGACCAAACUCUGUUGAUGUCAGUUUCUUAUAGCUCCAUGAUUCGAACAAAUACCCUUUAAUUUAGAGUCAGUAGCAGAUUAAUCUGCUCUCACAGCACACCAUCAUCAUCAAGCUAUGUUUUUAAUUUAAUAAACAUUUUUAGACAUGAAUGCAUAUCUAUAAAAAUAACCUAUGUUCGUGUUGUGGCCUUGAGUCCAGACACUGGUUUGAUGCAGCUCUCCAUGCUGCUCUAUCCAGUACAAGCUUCUUCAUCUCCCAGUACCUACCGCAACCUACAUCCUUCUUAAUAUGCUCAGCGUAUUCAUCUCUUGGCCUCCCUAUACGAUUUUUAGCCUCCACGCUGCCCUCCAAUACUAAUUUGGUGAUCCCUUGAUGCCUCGGAACAUGUCCUACCAACCGAUCCCUUCUUCUAGACAAGUUGUGCCACAAAUUUCUCUUCUCCCCACCUCUAUUCAAUACCUCCUCAUUAGUUAUGUGAACUACCCAUCUAAACUUCAACAUCCUUCUGUAGCACCACAUUUCGAAAGCUUCUAUUCUCUUCCUAUCUAAACUAUGUAUUUCCACUCUUCAUUUCCAUACAUGGCUACACUCCAUACAAAUACUUUCAGAAACGAUUUCCUGACACUUAAAUCUAUACUCGAUGUUAACAAAGUCACUUCUUCAGAAACGCUUUGCUGGCCAUUGCCAAUCUACAUUUUAUAUCCUCUCUACUUCUACCAUCGCCGGAUAUUUUGCUCCCCAAAUAGCAAACUCAUCUACUGCUUUAAGUGUCUCAUUUUAUAGUCUAAUUCCCUCAGUAUCACCCGACUUAAUUCGACUACAUUCCAUUAUCCUGGUCUUGCUUUUGUCGAUGUUCAUCUUAUAUCCUCCUUUCAACACUCUGUCCAUCUGCUCUUCCAGGUCCUUUGCUGUCUCUGACAAAAUUACAAUGUCAUCGGCGAACCUCAAAGUUUUUAUUUCUUCUCCAUGGAUUUUAAUUCCUACUCCGAAUUUUUCUUUUGCUUCCUUUACUGCUUGCUCAAUAUACAGAUUGAAUAACAUCGGGGAGAGGCUACAACCCUGUCUCACUCCCUUCCCAACCACUGCUUCCCUUUCAUGCCCCUCGGCUCUUAUAACUGCCAUCUGGUUUCUGUACAAAUUGUAAAUAGCCUUUCGCUCCCUGUGUUUUACCCUGCCACCUUCAGAAUUCGAAAGAGAGUAUUCCAGUCAACAUUGUCAAAUGCUUUUUCUAAUUCUACAAAUGCUAGAAACGUAGGUUUGCCUUUGCUAAACCUAUCUUCUAAGAUAAGUCGUAGGGUCACUAUUGCCUCAUGUGUUCCAACAUUUCUACGGAAUCCAAACUGAUCUUCCCCGAGGGUGGUUUCUACCAGUUUUUCCAAUCGUCUGUAAAGAAUUCAUGUUAGUAUUUUGCAGCCGUGACUUAUUAAACUGAUAGUUCGGUAAUUUUCACAUCUGUCACACCUGCUUUCUUUGGGAUUGGAAUUAUUAUAUUCUUCUUGAAGUCUGACGGUAUUUCGCCUGUCUCAUACAUUUUACUCACCAGAUGGUAGAGUUUUGUCAGGUGUGGCUCUCGCAAGGCUAUCAGUAGUCCUAAUGGAAUGUUGUCUACUCCUGGGGCCUUGUUUCGACUUAGGUCUUUCAGUGCUCUACCAUACUCUUCGUGCAGUAUCGUAUCUCCCAUUUCAUCUUCAUCUACAUCCUCUUUCAUUUCCAUAAUAUUUUCCUCAAGAACAUCGCCCUUGUAUAGACCAUCUAUAUAGUCCUUCCACCUUUCUACUUUCCCUUCUUUCCUUAGAACUGGUUUUCCAUCUGAGCUCUUGAUAUUCAUACAAGUGGUUCUCUUCCCUCCAAAGGUCUCUUUAAUUUUCCUGUAGGCAGUAUCUACCUUACCCCUAGUGAUAUAUGCCUCUUCAUCCUUACAUUUGUCCUCUAGCCAUCCCUGCUUAGCCAGUUUGCACUUCCUGUCGAUCUCAUUUCUGAGACGUUUGUAUUCCUUUCUGCCUGCUUCAUUUACUGCCUUAUUAUAUUUUCUCCUUUCAUCAUUUAAAUUCAAUAUUUCUUCUGUUACCCAAGGAUUUUUACUAGCUCUCGUCUCUUUGCCAACUCUAUCCUCUGGUGCCUUCACUAUUUCAUCUCUCAAACCUACCCAUUCCUCAUCUACUUUAUCUCUUUCCCCCAUUCUUGUCAAUCGUUCCCUAAUGCUCUCCCUGAAACUCUCUACAACCUCUGGUUUAGUCAGGUUAUCCAGGUCUCAUCUCCUUAAAUUCCCACCUUUUUGCAGUUUCUUUAGUUUUAAUCUACAGUUCAUAACCAAUAGAUUGUGACCAGGCUCCACAUCUGCUCCUGGAAAUGUGUUACAGUUUAAAACCUUGUUUCUAAAUCUCUGUCUUACCAUUAUAUAAUCUACCUGAAACCUUUCAGUAUCUCCAGGCUUUUUCCAUGUAUACAACCUUCUUUCAUGAUUCUUGAACCAAGUGUUAGCUAUGAUUAAGUUAUGAUCUGUGCAAAAUUCUACCAGGUGGCUUCCUCUUUCAUUCCUUACCCCUAUUCCAUAUUCACCUACUACGUUUCCUUCUCUUCCCUUUCGUACUACCGAAUUACAGUCACCCAUGACUAUUAAAUUUUCGCCUCCCUUCACUAUCUGAAUAAUUUCUUUUAUCUCAUCAUACAUUUCAUCAAUCUCUUCGCGAUGAGCAGAGCUAGUUGGCAUAUAAACUUGUACUACUGUGAUAGGCGUGGAUUUCGUAUCUAUCUUGGCCACGAUAAUUCGUUCACUAUGCUGUUUGUAGUAGCUUACCCGCAUCCCUAUUUUUUUAUUCAUUAUUAAACCUACUCCUGCAUUAUCCCUAUUUUAUUUUGUAUUUAUAACCCUGUAUUCACCUGGCCAGAAGUCUUGUUCCUCCUACCACCGAACUUCACUAUCUCCCACUAUAUUUAACUUUAACCUAUCCAUUUCCCUUUUAAAAUUUUCUAACCUACCUGCCCUAUUAAGCGAUCUCACAUUCCACUCUCCGCUCCGAAGAACGCCAGUUUUCUUUCUCCUGAUAACGAUGUCCUCCUGAGUAGUCCCUGCCCGGAGAUCCGAUUGGGGGACUAUUUUACCACCGGAAUAUUUUACCCAAGAGGACGCCAUCAUCAUUUAGCCAUACAGUAAAACUGUAUGCCCUCGGCAAAAAUUACGGCUGUAGUUUCCCCUUGCUUUCAGCAGUUCGCAGUACCAGCACAGCAACACCGCUUUGGUUAGUGUUACAAAGCCAGAUCAGUCAGUCACCCAGAAUGUACCCUUAGUAAAUUACACCUACUGGAUAGCGGGCCACAAGGUAUCUUUUAUACAAAAAGUAAUUGCUAAGUGCUCAUAAAAUAUAUAGCAUUUGCUCUGUAUUUUUUCAAUGGUUCUUGUUGUGGCCUUCUUUAUAAAUUAGUGUAGCGUCUAUAUGCAUCUAUAAAAAAGAUUUAUGUGAAAGUGGGAGGAACUGUUACAUGAGGGUCUCGGAACGUCUGGAGAAAUUUAAAUCAAAUUUUAUGCCCUUUUGGCUACUGUUCAUAGGUCAUCACCCUCUAAGACACCUACGAACAUUAGGUAGAAUAGGGCACGUCAUUCAUUAAAGGCUACACUUAUCAGUUCGUCAGUUUCUACAGCACAAUAGCCACGUUAACUCCUGAAUACCACAUUGCAUGUAUCUAACUCUCAUUGCUCCAAAAGACAGAGAGAGAGAGAGAGAGAGAGAGAGAGAAUCUGCUGGAUGAAGAUGGUUUGUAAUCGAAUUGGUGCUACAACUAAUCAAUCUGGCUUUUAAGUACUCUAAAGAGUUUUUUUUCAUGAAAAUCAGAUCGCAUCACCAUCUUCUCCACUACAAGAAUGUCUAAAGCAACUAACAGUGUUUUCUUAUACUUCAUAGAUAUUGUUUUGAAACAUUACUGCACACCUUAGCUGUUCUGCUGGUUUGUACAUAAUUUGUAUGUAGUGGGACGUAUAUGCCUUAGAAAACUUCAUAGAAUCUAUGUGUGGUAUGUCAAAGACAUCUUCAAAUCUUAUAUCGAAAGCUUGUGAGAAAUAUUUCAGGUUUUGCAUUGUCAAAAAAAUAAAUGUGUUUUGGUACUGA